GAAGAGCACAAGGUGCCAGUGAGGGAUGUGUGGUAUGAAGCUGGCAAGGUGUGGUACGCACACAAAGACGGUUAUACACUCGCCACUCAGCUGAAGCCAGAUGAAGGCACACCGGAGCUCCCUGACGGCAGGGUGAGGGUUCGACUGGACUCUGAUGGAUCGGUCCAUGAUGUAUCCCAGUAUGAGAUUGAAAAG